rfam:Ciona savignyi cont_23929, whole genome shotgun sequence.
UCCUCGUUAGUGUAGUGUUGAGUAUCCCCGCCUGUCACGCGGGAGACCGGGGUUCGAUUCCCCAACGGGGAG